GACAGAGGGGGCAAGCGUUGCUCGGAAUUACUGGGCGUAAAGGGCGCGUAGGCGGGAUGGUAAGUCGGUCGUGAAAUCCCUCGGCUCAACCGAGGAACGUCGAUCGAUACUACCGUUCUUGAGGAUUGCAGAGGAGACUGGAAUUCCCGGUGUAGCGGUGAAAUGUGUAGAGAUCGGGAGGAACACCGGUGGCGAAGGCGGGUCUCUGGGACGGUACUGACGCUGAGGCGCGAAAGCGUGGGGAGCAAACAGG
rnacentral:rRNA from 1 species